rnacentral:rRNA from 1 species
CAGCAGCCGCGGUAAUACGUAGGGUGCGAGCGUUACUCGGAUUUACUGGGCGUAAAGCGUGCGCAGGCGGCCCGUUAAGACAGGUGUGAAAUCCCUGGGCUCAACCUAGGAAUUGCGCUUGUGACUGGCGGGCUCGAGUACGGUAGAGGGGGGUGGAAUUCCUGGUGUAGCAGUGAAAUGCGUAGAGAUCAGGAGGAACACCGAUGGCGAAGGCAGCCCCCUGGGCCUGUACUGACGCUCAUGCACGAAAGCGUGGGGAGCAAACAGGAUUAGAUACCCUGGUAGUCCACGCCCUAAACGAUGGGUACUAGCCGUUUGGUGCGCGAGAGCGCUGAGUGGCGAAGCUAACGCGUGAAGUACCCCGCCUGGGGAGUACGGCCGCAAGGUUGAAACUUAAAGGAAUUGGCGGG